GUAGCGUAGGAAUAGCAUCGGCUAACUCCGGCCAAGCAGCCGCGGUAAUACGGAGGAUGCAAGCGUUAUCCGGAUUCAUUGGGUUUAAAGGGUGCGCAGNCGGGCUUGUAAGUCAGUGGUGAAAUACUGCCGCUUAACGGUAGAAUUGCCAUUGAUACUGCGAGUCUUGAGUAUGGUUGAGGUAGGCGGAAUGUGCAGUGUAGCGGUGAAAUGCAUAGAGAUUGCACAGAACGCCGAUUGCGGAGGCAGCUUACUAAGCCAUAACUGACGCUGAGGCACGAAAGCGUGGGGAGCGAACAGGAUUAGAUACCCUGGUAGUCCACGCUGUAAACGAUGUUCACUCGCUGUUUGCGAUACACAGUAAGCGGCUGAGCGAAAGCAUUAAGUGAACCACCUGGGGAGUACGAUCGCAAGGUUGAAACUCAAAGGAAUUGACGGGGGCCCGCACAAGCGGAGGAACAUGUGGUUUAAUUCGAUGAUACGCGAGGAACCUUACCUGGGCUUAAAUGUAGGCUGCAUGAAGUAGAAAUACUUCUUUCCUUCGGGACUGCUUACAAGGUGCUGCAUGGUUGUCGUCAGCUCGUGCCGUGAGGUGUCGGGUUAAGUCCCAUAACGAGCGCAACCCUUAUCGUUAGUUGCUAGCAGGUAAAGCUGAGGACUCUAGCGAGACUGCCACCGUAAGGUGAGAGGAAGGUGGGGAUGACGUCAAAUCAGCACGGCCCUUAUGUCCAGGGCUACACACGUGUUACAAUGGCCGGUACAGAGGGAAGCUACCUGGUGACAGGUUGCCAAUCUUAAAAGCCGGUCUCAGUUCGGAUUGGAGUCUGCAACCCGACUCCAUGAAGUUGGAUUCGCUAGUAAUCGCGCAUCAGCCAUGGCGCGGUGAAUACGUUCCCGGGCCUUGUACACGCCGCCCGUCAAACCAUGGGAGCUGGGGGUGCACUGAAGUCUGUGACCGAGAGGAGCGGCACUAGGGUAAAACCAGUGACUGGGGUUAAGUCGUAACAAG
rnacentral:rRNA from 1 species